AGGUGCUUGUGUUGACUUUCAGGCUUUGCCCUAGCCCUGGGACUGGGGCACUGCCAGGAGCCAGGACAGCUCACCCCUUAGGGGUCUCUGUGCCUGCCAGUUGUCUUCUUUGCACAAAAGCUGUGCAGGACUGUGCCUGAGAACCCUACCCUUGUCCUGCCCCCAGUGUCCCCAGAAUGACCUAGGCAUGUCCUCUGCUGCCUGCUCUCAGGACCUACCAUUUGGAGGUGGGGUGUAGACAGCUGUCCUCUGGUGCUGGUGGUAAGCAUGGGGAGCCAGGCUCCUGCUGUGCCUUCGAGGGAGCACCUGUAAGGCUGUGAAACCCUGUGCAGUGGGGAGGACCGGCCACAGUGACCCUGACUGCUUACUGCCCUACCGGGAGCCUCUCACCUGUUGGAGGGAGCCCCCCAGGAGACGAGAUCCCUGAUCCUCUGAAAGCCCAGCUACCCUGAGAGAAGAGUGCACCUGCUCUCCUGCCUUGCAAGGACAGUGGGGGAAAGAUGUGCAGCCAGGAGGCCAGACAGGGACCUCCUGAAAGCUUGGGGUCAACACUGGAUCUAUGGCAGGGCCCACUGGAGAUGGGCUAAUGAGACCUACUGGCGGAUUUUGGGGUGGCCCUGUGAGAGAAGCUGAGGGGUCCUCUGGUGAGUCUGAGUCCUGGCCCCUUCCCCAGCAGGUAGCAGUGAACUCUGGAUUCUUGAGUCCUCUUGAGCCUCCCUCCAGGGGGCCCCAGAGGCAGUUAGUGAGGGCACUCCUAGAAAAGAAGGGAAUUCCUGCUGGGAACGCAACUGGGGCCUCAAGAACUGGAGGGGUUUGGGUGUUGAUGUAAAUGUAGACAUUUGAAUUCCAAAUAUUAUUAUGUAUUAGAAUCU
rnacentral:lncRNA from 1 species